AAGGUCCCUCGCAGUUUCCCAUUGCUGGAAGAACAUGAAGGGGGCCAGAAAAGAGGAGAUGGCACAGUUAACUGGGGUCUGGAAGAUGACAAAGACAUGUCACUUACAGGAUGGACAGGAAUGAUGACUGGGCCUCCGAGAAUAAUUUAUGAAAACCAAAUAUCCAGCCUUAAAGUAGAAUGUGGACCUAAAUACCCAGAAGCACCCGCUCUGUAAGAUUUGUAAUGAAAAUUAAUAUGGAGUUAAUAGUUCCAAUGGAGUGGUGGGCCCAAGAUCCAUAUCAGUGCUAGCAAAAUGGCAGAAUUCUUAAAGCAUCAAAGUUGUCCUGCAAGAGCUUUGGCGCCCAACGAUAUCUAAAGAAAAUAUGAAAACUCCCUUAGCCUCCUGAAGGACAAUGUUACAGCA
rnacentral:lncRNA from 1 species